CGGAGGGAUCAUUACAAGAAGCCGAAAGGCUACUUCAAACCAUUGCGAACUCGUCCAAGUUGCUUCGGCGGCGCGGCACCCCCUAACGGGGGCGCCGCAGCCCUGCCUCUCCGGAGGUUCGGGGCGCCCGCCGGAGGUACGAAACUCUGUAUUAUAGUGGCAUCUCUGAGUAUAAAGCAAAUAAGUUAAAACUUUCAACAACGGAUCUCUUGGCUCUGGCAUCGAUGAAGAACGCAGCGAAAUGCGAUAAGUAAUGUGAAUUGCAGAAUUCAGUGAAUCAUCGAAUCUUUGAACGCACAUUGCGCCCGGUAGUACUCUACCGGGCAUGCCUGUUCGAGCGUCAUUUCAACCCUCAAGCUCUGCUUGGUGUUGGGGCCCUACGGCUGCCGUAGGCCCUGAAAGGAAGUGGCGGGCUCGCUACAACUCCGAGCGUAGUAAUUCAUUAUCUCGCUAGGGAGGUUGCGGCGUGCUCCUGCCGUUAAAGACCCAUCUUUAACCAAGGUUGACCUCGGAUCAGGUAGGAAUACCCGCUGAACUUAAGCAUAUCAAUAA
rnacentral:rRNA from 1 species